rnacentral:rRNA from 1 species
UCACGUCAGCAAAGCUGGGGCCACCCGAAGUCUCAUUAUGUAUGGGCUCACGGUGGAAUCAGUGAUGAGGAUGAAGUCGAAACAAGGUAGCCGUAGGGGAAUCUGCGGCUGGAUCACCUCCUUU